rnacentral:antisense_RNA from 10 species
AAUAAUGGUGGCUCGAGUGGGGCAGUCUUCGGACUGGCCGGUAUUCUGUGAAGCCGGUACUGCAAACCCUGUUCGGGUCACCACCAAU